rnacentral:rRNA from 1 species
CAGUCGCCACGGUAAUACGUAGGUGGCAAGCGUUGUCCGGAAUUAUUGGGCGUAAAGCGCGCGCAGGUGGUUUAAUAAGUCUGAUGUGAAAGCCCACGGCUCAACCGUGGAGGGUCAUUGGAAACUGUUAAACUUGAGUGCAGGGGAGAAAAGUGGAAUUCCAUGUGUAGCGGUGAAAUGUGUAGAUAUAUGGAGGAACACCGGUGGCGAAGGCGGCUUUUUGGCCUGUAACUGACACUGAGGCGCGAAAGCGUGGGGAGCAAACAGGAUUAGAUACCCCGGUAGUCCCUGUCUCUUAUAC